CUUUCCGCCAGAGAACUACAAGUGAAAAACUUGAAACUCAAAGGACUUGGCGGUGUCCCAUAUCGGCCUAGAGGAGCCUGUCCUAUAAUCGAUACUCCCCGCUCCACCCAACCCCCACUAGCACCCUAUCAGCCUAUAUACCGCCGUCGACAGUCUACCCCAUGAGGGUUUAAUAGUAGACAAAACAGCAUACCCGCUAAUACGUCAGGUCAAGGUGUAGCAAAUGUGGUGGAAGAGAUUGGCUACAUUUUUUAUUUUAAAAAACACGAAAGGCACUAUGAAACCCUGCAUGAAGGUGAAUUUAGUAGUAAAAUAGAUAAGAGUGUCU
rnacentral:rRNA from 1 species